rnacentral:tRNA from 1 species
GGUUUGUGGCUCAGUGGUAGAGUGCUUGCCUAGCAUGCAUAAGAUACUGGGUUCAAUCCUCAGCACCA